CACAAUUGCCAGUCUCAAAUGGAAAAGCUACGAUGCCAGUUUUGUUGACCCUUUGCAAAUGAAGAACCUGGAGGCUAAGCGAGAGGGCACAGCAGUACGUGACUAAAGCGUCCAACUUCCUCUUUCAUAAGCCAUCACAUGAUGGAAGCAAUUACAAUUCCAGCCUUGUCUCUGCGAAUUGCAGACGCAUUGCCUCACCCUAGAAACCCGGCUCGCUCUUGCUCUUGCUCUCCCCCCGCCCCCAUGUUGGUUUGUGCAGACGGUACCCUGCAGCAACCCGGCCAGAGGAGUGGCCGGCAGCCUUGAAAACGCAUCCAUAGCAAUCAAGCAGCACCUACUGGAAAUCCCCGCGGGACUUUCAGGCCAUAUUGGCUUGUAAAAUGAAUGCGGGUUAAUAUUGGAUUAAAUGUUUCGCAUGUAAUUUUGGAACGGGUUUAUCCAUGUGAUCUCCUGAAAUCAA